UACGUAUGCAGCAAGCGUUGUUCGGAGUUACUGGGCGUAAAGGGUGUGUAGGCGGUUGGAUAAGUGUGGUGUGAAAUCUCCCGGCUUAACUGGGAGGGUGCGCUACAAACUGUCUGACUAGAGUGUGGGAUGGGUAAGUGGAAUUCCUGGUGUAGCGGUGAAAUGCGUAGAUAUCAGGAAGAACACCCGUGGCGAAGGCGGCUCUCUGGGACGGUACUGACGCUGAGACGCGAAAGCGUGGGGAGCGAACAGG
rnacentral:rRNA from 1 species